AGUGAACGCUGGCGGUAGGCCUAACACAUGCAAGUCGAACGGCAGCACAGGAGAGCUUGCUCUCUGGGUGGCGAGUGGCGGACGGGUGAGGAAUACAUCGGAAUCUGCCCAGUCGUGGGGGAUAACGUAGGGAAACUUACGCUAAUACCGCAUACGACCUUCGGGUGAAAGAGGGGGAUCGCAAGGCCUCUUGCGAUUGGAUGAGCCGAUGUCGGAUUAGCUAGUUGGCGGGGUAAUGGCCUACCGAGGCGACGAUCCGUAGCUGGUCUGAGAGGAUGAUCAGCCACACUGGAACUGAGACACGGCCCAGACUCCUACGGGAGGCAGCAGUGGGGAAUAUUGGACAAUGGGCGCAAGCCUGAUCCAGCCAUACCGCGUGGGUGAAGAAGGCCUUCGGGUUGUAAAGCCCUUUUGUUGGGAAAGAAAUCAUGCAGGCUAAUACCCUGGGAGGAUGACGGUACCCAAAGAAUAAGCACCGGCUAACUUCGUG
rnacentral:rRNA from 1 species